GACGAACGCUGGCGGCGUGCCUAAUACAUGCAAGUCGAACGAGAGCAACCGGUGCUUGCACUGGUCAAUCUAGUGGCGAACGGGUGAGUAACACGUGGGUAACCUGCCCAUCAGAGGGGGAUAACAUCCGGAAACGGAUGCUAAAACCGCAUAGGUCUUCGAACCGCAUGGUUUGAAGAGGAAAAGAGGCGCAAGCUUCUGCUGAUGGAUGGACCCGCGGUGCAUUAGCUAGUUGGUGAGGUAACGGCUCACCAAGGCCGUGAUGCAUAGCCGACCUGAGAGGGUGAUCGGCCACAUUGGGACUGAGACACGGCCCAAACUCCUACGGGAGGCAGCAGUAGGGAAUCUUCCGCAAUGGACGCAAGUCUGACGGAGCAACGCCGCGUGAGUGAAGAAAGUUUUCGGAUCGUAAAACUCUGUUGUUAGAGAAGAACAAGUGCUAGAGUAACUGUUAGCGCCUUGACGGUAUCUAACCAGAAAGCCACGGCUAACUACGUG
rnacentral:rRNA from 1 species